GCCGGCGUGGCGCAAUUGGUUAGCGCGUCAGACUUUUAACCAAAAUCCUGUGUGGAAGUAAAAAACAACAGGGGAGGUCUAGAAUAUCUGAAUGUUGCGAGUUCGAGUCUCGCCGUUGGCG